AGUGAUAAAAAUGACUACGACUGGUAAUUGAAACAUUUUUUUUACCCUCCAUUUUGCUUUUUGGAAAGUCACUUGAUUCGUAUGAUUUCAUUGUAUCAUUUUUGGGAUCGUAGUUAUGAUGGUGUGAGUAGAGGUUUCUAUUAUAGAACAAUGGAGCUGGACGUCAUACUUCGCAAAAAUAAAGCUUUUAUUUACUUUUAUCCUCCUUUGGUUUGUGGCCGUCAUGAAUGUAGAACAUUGGAAAGGUUGGAUUCGUAAUCUUGUCACUUGUUUAAAAUAUGUUACAAUCUGUAUCACCUCGUCUUUCUCAUAUCUUAUUGAAUAAAAUGCAUUAGUCUUCACUUAUUAGUUGCUGGUUCAUGCUGGUAGAGAGAUCUUUUGAAUGCCUCCUCUUCUCAUUUCUAAUAUUCCCUCCCUUGGAAAGGAGAUUUUGUGGUUAACUGUCAGUAUUCUGACAAAAUUGUAUUCUUUCAGACAUCUAGCUUUCAUGCUAAUUUAAGAAACCUUUGCUUCAGUUAUUUAUGCAUGAGAGCUGUAAAACCUGCUAAAGAGUGAUCCCUAGGCCUUUCUCUUGUCUCGAAAGGCAGAUGAAAAUUUGUCCUUCCUGGGGCUUGAUCAUAUUUUUGUUUGGUGUAGGUAGAAUUCAAACUUUUUGUGAACAUUUUAAUAUACAGCUGAUAAGGUAUUCUUGUGCUGGUUUGUGCUUGCCACUUUUGAAUAAUCAGUGGAUACCAUUAUGCUAUAAUGAAUUCAGGUCAUUGAUUCACAUACCUUUAGCAAUUUAAAGCUGAUGAUAAGUGAUAACCUUAAUUAUCUUCUGCUUUCAGGCUUCUAACACCUCCUG
rnacentral:misc_RNA from 1 species